GACGAACCGUGCGAACGUUAUUCGGAAUCACUGGGCUUAAAGCGCGUGUAGGCGGACGGGCACGUCGGACCCUGAAAGCCCCCGGCUCAACCGGGGAACUGGGGCCGAUACGACCCGUCUGGAGGGACGUAGGGGGACCUGGAACUUCCGGUGGAGCGGUGAAAUGCGUUGAGAUCGGAAGGAACGCCCGUGGCGAAAGCGAGGUCCUGGACGUCUGCUGACGCUGAGACGCGAAAGCUAGGGGAGCGAACGGG
rnacentral:rRNA from 1 species